CCUACGAGGAGCAGCAGUGAGGAAUAUUGGUCAAUGGGCGCGAGCCUGAACCAGCCAAGUAGCGUGAAGGAUGACUGCCCUACGGGUUGUAAACUUCUUUUAUAAAGGAAUCAAGUGAGGCACGUGUGCCUUUUUGUAUGUACUUUAUGAAUAAGGAUCGGCUAACUCCGUGCCAGCAGCCGCGGUAAUACGGAGGAUCCGAGCGUUAUCCGGAUUUAUUGGGUGUAAAGGGAGCGUAGAUGGGUUGUUAAGUCAGUUGUGAAAGUUUGCGGCUCAACCGUAAAAUUGCAAUUGAUACUGGCAGUCUUGAGUACAGUUGAGGUAGGCGGAAUUCGUGGUGUAGCGGUGAAAUGCUUAGAUAUCACGAAGAACCCCGAUUGCGAAGGCAGCUUACCAAACUGUGACUGACAUUGACGCUCGAAAGUGUGGGUAUCAAACAGGAUUAGAUACCCCUGUAGUC
rnacentral:rRNA from 1 species